UUUUCCCUGCGAUGUUGGUGUAGAAACCAGAUUUUGGCCCAACACAAAACGAACGGGAGCCGUAACCUGAUUUCUGUGUGCAUGCCUCCCUAUGCUGGAGGAAGCCUGAUGAAUCAGCCAGGCACCCACCUGUUUAUACAGGGACCAAAAUUGAAUUUCUCACGGCAUAAGCGGGGAAUUU
rnacentral:other from 1 species